AAAAGUUGGUAGGCGGAACCUAACGCCUGAUUGGUUACCCUCUGCAUCAAGCCAAGACAAAUCAAUUCCGGAUAAUGGAUUGAUGCAGAGCUACUGAACACAUUCCAAUACACUGGGUGGCGCUAUUCACCUCUACGUUGGUUUAGUUACACGGUUAAACAGAACUUUCAUUGCAACGGCUAAAAAUCAAGAGAAGACUCGGUCCUGCUAGCCCCAAUGUUGAGACGCUGUGUGAGGUGCAGGACAAAAUGUCUAAAAGUUGCCCGGAGCUGCUGAGAGAAGCAGCGAAUUUGAUUGAGGAAGCUCUGAGCAGAAGUCCAACGGCUCCCGCGGCACCGGCAGCUCAGUCACAGCAGAUACCGGCCGCUCAAUCACGUACACCUGUCCAAGCGGAGGUAGCAAGGCUCUUUGCGCCAUAUAACAUUGGAGCCAGAAGGAAUAUGACGAGACGACCAGCACAAGUCCAAGUUAGCCGAAGAAGCUACACACACACUGUCUGUUGUUUGGCUGACCACAAUGCGGAUAAAAUUCCAAGCGUACUGUUUAAAGCUGAACUUCUUACUUCAGGACUUGGAGAGCAAAAGUAACAUUUUCAGGGAAUGACCACGAUCCCAUGGUUAUAACAAAUAAACUGAUGGAAGUGUUUCCGAAGCUCCAACAAGGGGGAGGCUUUGAAUUUCUAAAACUUGUAGGAUCUACUCGCAGUCGAAAUCUUGCGUUGCUUCAGUGUCCCAGCACUGGAUACACCCUUGCCUAUCUGAAAGAUCCAUCGACGAUGAUUGGACAGGCUACAAUCUACAUACGUCCACUUCAACAGGAUCUACCCUUAGAUUGUGAGAGCUCACGUCCUGCCUCUGGUCCAGUCAUCCCCUGCAUCACUUGUCAGAAGGAAGUUCCCUUUUCAGAGAUGAAGCUGCACAGAUUGAGCUGCAAUGGGACACCCAUGCAGGAAUCAGAAAGAGAACAAGAGGGAGGCCAAAGUGAAGAAAAUGAUAGUGAGACAGCCCUAGUCAGUGACAGUGUUCCAGUGAGGCCUGAAACAUCAGCUGAGAGUGCAGUAGUACCGGCAGUGAUUGUCAACGAGGAGUUGGAUCGCAAAGAAACAGACAGUGGUUUGUGUCAUCACAAUAGUGUUGCUAUAAGAUUGUGUGUAACUGAAAAGUUAAUAGAAAGAUAACACCUGUAGGAUAUAAUUAGAUAAGAUAAUACAGUUACAGACAACUAACCACUUAGUCAUUAUAUCCACAAUAUGAUAGUUAUUUAUCCGAAAUCUAAAUGUGGAAGAUAUUUUGUGAAUGCACCAAUUGUCAACCUUACAAUAUCGUUGCAAUAUCGACAUCAAGGUGUUAGGUCAAAAAUGUGAUA